GAAAGCAAGGCACUGGUCAUCCUCAAAAAUGAUUUUGGCUGGGAUUUCCUUGCAGAUGAUCUUCCCGAAGACAGUGUUGCCACCAGGCCGAGCGACCUGAGCCUUGGCGAUCUCACCUGCCAUCUCUGCCUGUCUCCCACACAGCAGGCAGGGUAGAGGCUCAGAAGGAGGGAGGAACCCACAGAUUCUAUUUUCUUUGUUAAGAAAGUAAUCCUUUCUGCUCAUACCAAUCCCAUAGAUGUCUAUCCUUAUUUUCUGCCUGCAGAAAAGGUGGGUAUCAUCACAGAAUGUUUAGUCUCUCAAUUCAUCACACAUUUGUAAUUUUUUGGAGAGAUUAUAGGCCUUGAGGUUUGUAGGAUUGUUGUUAGAGCAGGUGUUUUGUUUUUUUUUUUUUUUAGCUACAUUGGUGUAUAAUUGACAACUAGAAAUUAUACAUAUUUAAUUACUACUUGAGACCGUGAUUACAGCAGUUACUACUGUUACCACUUGAAACCAUCAUUAUGACCGAACAAAGGGACGAAUGUAGAAAUGAAAACUUAAGACAAAAGAAACUGUUUUAAGGAAAGGCAACAUGAAGAAGAAGAGAGCUCCCUGCUUCUAGUGAGCAAAGGCAGCUCCCCUGCCGAGCUUCUCAGCCCUUCAUAUUUACUGGGUAACAAGAACAAGAAGGAGGUAACGAUUGGUCAGCUGCUGAAUUGAUCACAGGUUCAUAUUGUUACUGACAAGCUUCAAUUGUACCUAAUCAUAAGAAACAUUUGUGCGGCCUCCAACAAUGUACAACUUGAUGUGUUGAUAUAUGUGUACAUUGUGAAUGAUCAUCACAAUCAAGCCGGUUAACAUAUCCAUCACCUCACAUAGUUGCUUUGGGGG
rnacentral:lncRNA from 1 species